rnacentral:lncRNA from 1 species
ACAGAGACACUCAGAAGGAAUUGGGACUGGAUGUGGAGGAAAGACAUCAUAAAACUUUACAUUGAAAGCCAAAGAUGUGAAGUUAGGCCUAGUCAAGUGUUAAUUCUGAAAGAUCAAAACACAUCAUCCUGGACUGUGAAGGUGUGCCUUCUGUAAGUUAAAUGGAAUGAGAUCUUCUUCAGUGCACCUGAUGUCUUGGGAAGGACUCAGCUAAGAGGACUUUGCAGUUGAGGCUGAAUCUUGAUCCAUGUAGUCCAUUCCCGAUGGUGCUAUUUAGAAGGCCUUUUGUUGUCUGAGCAAAGUUGUCUUCCUGGCCUUACUACUGAAUCUUGGCAAAGGAUCAAUGGGUGUGAAUCAUGGCAAUACAGUGAAAGACAGUGAUUUACUGCUUUUGAGGGCGUGCAUGUAUAUGAUUAACGGAUGGAAGUGCAGGACUCCAAGAUUUACUUCCUUCCCUUUCCAGCAGAAUUACCUGAGACGAGUAAAAUCUACUGGUGGAGUCACUCCAUUAUUCUUAUCUGUGGAGAUCUAGAUCUUGAUUUGAAAGUUUCUGAGAAAAUCUUCAGCUCAGACUUGAGGGUCAACUUUACCAGCUGAAGGAUCUGCAUUUACUGCUCAACCACAUCUAAUUUGAUGUCCUCUGCAGAUUUAAAAUGUGUGCCUUCUUUUCCGUCACCAAGUCAUCCCUGGGUUACUACUGAACAUCCUUCUCAAUUCCCCCCGACCCAUGGAUGGCUGUUCUCCAUUGUCUGUUUCACCAGAUGUCCUCAAAACAAACAGACAGAAGAAGGAAGUGGCUAAUGGAGCUGUGGAGUCCAAGUGUGACUGCCAAGAGGAAUCCAGCAAAGCCAAAAAGCCCAAGCAUGUAGCCCUGCCCGAAGCACGCCACACGCAUGGAAAACCCAGAGGAAAUGAGUGAGGAUCAAUGGGAAGAAGAGAGCCAGCCAGGUUCGAUGCCUUCUCCAUCCGUCAGUGAGGGUGUGGAGAGCCUGCAGGCGUGUGCCUCCCUCUGUAACUUGCUAUUCCUUGUGUAAUGUCAAGUGGAAGUGUGAAGCACCACAAACUGCUCUGAGCAGAGCCCACUUCCCUUCACCCACGGAGAGCGUGAAGCAGUUACACCAACAUCAAUCAAGGAAAACCCACAGGCUGAGCUCACACGGUUGAAGCAGGAAGUUGAAGAUUUGUCCAGGAGCAGAUAGCUGAAGAGAGAGAGAGAGAAGAGAGAACGGCUUACAGCUCAGGUCCUCUCUCCAUGCUUAGGAACCACUACAAAUGCUACUGCCUUGAGUCUCAUUUUGUUUCCCUCUGGAAACCACAUGUGUACCUUGUUUGCAACAGUAUGGGCUCACAGGCAGAAGGAAUUUUCCUUGUCUUGGAUGAGACUUUUGACUUGGACUUUUGGGUUAAGUUCUGGAGACCAGAAGGCCAAAAUCAAAAGUAUGGGCAGGCUUGAUUUCUUUAGAAGACUCCAGCGGAGAACUGUGUCUCCUUGCUUCUGAUUCUACAUCUCCAUCCAUGGGCCACUGUUUCAGCAACCUCAGCCAGUGCAACACAACCUCAGCCAAGAAGAGUAUGCAGAGAAAGGAGUCCCCUACCUGCCACAAAACUGUUGUCUGAAAACUGUCUCAUAUUGUCUCAAGUUGUCAUUCAUUGUGAAUUAGACCUGUUUAACAUGUAAUCUGCAACAUG